GUCUACGGCCAUACCACCUUGAAUGCACCCGAUCUCGGAAGCUAAGCAGGGUGGGGCCUGGUUAGUACUUGGAUGGGAGAUU
rnacentral:rRNA from 1 species